rnacentral:ncRNA from 3 species
CAGCAGCACACUGUGGUUUG